UGAACGUUGGCGGCGUGCCUAAUACAUGCAAGUCGAACGAAGACUGUAGUAAUACUGUCUUAGUGGCGAACGGGUGAGUAACGCGUGGGUAAUCUGCCCUUAAGUGUGGAAUAACGUACCGAAAGGUGCGCUAAUACCGCAUAAUGCCUGGCAACACAAGUUGUCCGGCCAAAGAAGGCCUCUGUUUACAAGCUUUCGCUUCAGGAUGAGUCCGCGUACCAUUAGCUUGUUGGUGGGGUAAUGGCCUACCAAGGCUGCGAUGGUUAGCUGGUCUGAGAGGAUGAUCAGCCACACUGGAACUGAGACACGGUCCAGACUCCUACGGGAGGCAGCAGUGAGGAAUAUUGCGCAAUGGGGGCAACCCUGACGCAGCAACGCCGCGUGAGUGAGGAAGGUUUUCGGACUGUAAAGCUCUGUCGAGCGGGAAGAAGUGUACCAUGGCUAAUAUCCAUGAUAUUUGACGGUACCGCUAGAGGAAGCACCGGCUAACUCCGUG
rnacentral:rRNA from 1 species